rnacentral:rRNA from 1 species
AGAGUUUGAUCAUGGCUCAGGAUGAACGCUAGCGGGAGGCCUAACACAUGCAAGCCGAGCGGUAGAGAUUCUUCGGAAUCUUGAGAGCGGCGUACGGGUGCGGAACACGUGUGCAACCUACCUUUAUCUGGAGGAUAGCCUUUCGAAAGGAAGAUUAAUACUCCAUAAUAUAUUGAUUGGCAUCAAUUGAUAUUGAAAGCUCCGGCGGAUAGAGAUGGGCACGCGCAAGAUUAGUUAGUUGGUGAGGUAACGGCUCACCAAGACGAUGAUCUUUAGGGGCCUGAGAGGGUGAUCCCCCACACUGGUACUGAGACACGGACCAGACUCCUACGGGAGGCAGCAGUGAGGAAUAUUGGUCAAUGGGUGCAAGCCUGAACCAGCCAUCCCGCGUGAAGGACGACUGCCCUAUGGGUUGUAAACUUCUUUUGUAUAGGGAUAAGCCUACCCUCGUGAGGGUAGCUGAAGGUACUAUACGAAUAAGCACCGGCUAACUCCGUG